rfam:Schistosoma margrebowiei strain Zambia genome assembly, scaffold: SMRZ_contig0004464
AUCCAGCUGACGAAUCCUACAUAGGACGAGACGGGCGUCCUUGAU